AAUGUUCUUAAAACCGCACCGGACCGGCCGGUCCGACCGGUUCAAACGGGAACCGGAAGCCAGUCCGGUCCGGUUAAGCAUGAAAACUCGGAUGCUCCAAAAAACCGGUCGGAAGGCGAAAGACCUGGAAAACCGUUGGUUGAACCGGAAUAUCCCGAACCGGAAAAAACCCGGGUUUCGUCACUAACUGAAAUUUUAAGACAAUUAAUUUAUAGAUCUGACUGAGUUUAAAAAAAAAUGUAUAUAGAUCUGAUUAGCAAGAUGAUAGAGGAAGAAGAAAAAGAGAAAAGACAGUCAAGUUUGCCGCUGAAAUAGACGAAGGGCUGUUGCUCCGAUCUGGAUAUAAGUUCUACAAUGGUGGAAGAAAGAAGAAGACGAGAUGGAGGAGGAAAAGAAAAAGAAUUU
rnacentral:lncRNA from 1 species